AUUGAACGCUGGCGGCAUGCCUUACACAUACAAGUCGAACGGCAGCGGGGGAGAAGCUUGCUUUUCCUGCCGGCGAGUGGCGAACGGGUGAGUAAUACAUCGGAACGUGCCCUGUAGUGGGGGAUAACUAGUCGAAAGAUUAGCUAAUACCGCAUACGACCUGAGGGUGAAAGUGGGGGACCGCAAGGCCCCAUGCUAUAGGAGCGGCCGAUGUCUGAUUAGCUAGUUGGUGGGGUAAAGGCCUACCAAGGCGACGAUCAGUAGCUGGUCUGAGAGGACGAUCAGCCACACUGGGACUGAGACACGGCCCAGACUCCUACGGGAGGCAGCAGUGGGGAAUUUUGACAAUGGGCGAAAGCCUGAUCCAGCAAUGCCGCGUGUGUGAAGAAGGCCUUCGGGUUGUAAAGCACUUUUGUCCGGAAAGAAAUGGCUCUGGUUAAUACCUGGGGUCGAUGACGGUACCGGAAGAAUAAGGACCGGCUAACUACGUGCCAGCCGCCGCCGUAA
rnacentral:rRNA from 1 species